UGAGAUACACAAUAUAUAUGGUGACCUUGUUGAAAGCAUGGUGUCACAGCAUGAUUCUGGAGUGAUUCUGGAACGGCUAGGUGCAUCAAUAUAGUGAGUCCUAACGGGACACACGUCAUCCUCCCAUGCACCUAUGCCGUAUCAGUAUAUGUGCAUAUGUGUACUUGUGUAUGCGCGAGUGUAUGUGUACUAUGUCAUUGUGGGGGCCCCAGCUCUCUGUUUAUGUGCGCCAAGGCCUGGGGGGUCCCACUUCAUCCGAAGUAGGAGCCCAAUCCCAGAGGCGAGGGGUUUUGGGUUGUUCAAAGUAGAUGAUGUGUCGUCCAUUGCUGCUUUCCAGGAUACAGAAACUCUUCUUUGUGGGGAGAUGAUAAAACAGCUUCUGGGACAGGCGUAUGAUACUCGGGUUAGAAUAUCUCCUGGUUUCCUCUGGGGAGGAUGCGACAAGAGUGGAAUACGGCAUCAGGUGGUCCGCUUCUCUGAUGGAGUUAAGAGGCCAUAUGUAUUGGUAAUCCUCUUCUAGCUGGGUCCACCCUCGGGGUCCUAACCGGAGACCGCGAAUGUGGUCGAAGGCCCACUCUGGAUCCUUCAGCUUGUUGUUGUUCGUUCUAGACCACUUUCCCUCCUUGAACUGGAACAGCUGGUUCCUGCCUGCUCCUGGAUCCCGGAAAACCAUCUCAGAGGGGAGGUGGGAGCCUUCCCUCCGAGUAUGUUGGGAGUAUUCUGGUCGCUGAGCAGAGCGGGACCCAGUGUGGCCCCGUACAUGGGCCCCAACGCCCAUCAGGGGUGGAGACGGCAUUGGAGUUGUGUCUCUUGGUACCGCACGAGUCCUGAAGUUUGGUCUUCCGUGGGCACAAGGGUUAGAUGCGGGAGAGGGAAUUCUAUGGCUGCUCAUCUCUCUAAGCUGUCUGAGUCUCGUCUGGUUGUCGCCGCGUCCCCUUGUUAGGUCAUAAGGCUCCCUUCUUGAGCGGGGAGCUUGGGACACCCGGUUUAAGAUCCACCCAUCCAGUCUGUGGCCCCUGGGGGUAUUCGCCGGACAUUGAUAGAUCAUUACUUCUCUGGGUGCUAGCCCUUGGUUAGCUGGGGGAUUCCUUUGGCCAUAAACGGGAGAACUAAGUGAAGACAACACCCUGGCCCUCUUAGUUUUACUGUCUACUACUAUUCUGUCUCCUGGGUCGCAUCGAUAUCUAGUAUAUGGGUUAGGGUUAGGAAAAUGACACUAGGCGAGGAGCUUUCAGUCUCUAAGUUAAACGUUCCUGAUCCCCCUGAGGCAAUUCUCCAUUGUCCCCAGUGAGGUCGCCUAUUCCUUGAAUAAACGAUUCUAGGAAAAAGGGGUCUGAGGUGUCCGCGUCAAGGUUAAUUUGAAUUGGGCUGUUAUGGUGAUCUUCCAUCACCUGGUCGAUUACUUCUUGCAUUUCUACCGCUAACGUGCUUCCUAUAUAUCCCACGUCACGUGGGGUGUCAUCCGAGAUUUUUAAAGGUGUUUUAGAUUUCCUUUUUUGGGUUGGAUAGCUUGGUCCACCUAAUGUGGCCCAUUCUUCGAAAGGAUAAGUGAUUUCAACGUUGGACAUGCCCUCUACUAUACCGGCCACCUCCGCUUCUGCCGUAGCUCUAGCUGGUCCACUAUUGUUUUCAGUCAUCCCUCCUGCCUCUCGUCUGGGGGUUCCCGGAGAUCCAUCUGGCUGUAUGGGCUGGGUUAAGCCAGUGAUUAGUUAACAGUUUUUAUUAGUAUAGGAAAAGGGGAAAGGAGUUUUUGGUCAGAGUCUUCUUGACACUGACCCUAGAUGUUAGUUACUCUUCACCCGUCCCGCUACAUAAUUAGUAUAACAGAUUACAGCCCAUGCCGGAUCUAUUUCAACAACCGUACUUAGUACACAGGCUGUGGUUACUAUUGCUACCUGACUAGCUAUUUUCUCACAUUGUUUCCGUAGGCUGCCUUGGGAGUUUCUAUUGAGCUGUUCUAAGUACGUGAGGUAGAUAAUAACCAGGCUUACAGCCACUCCUAGAUUAAUGAGUGUCUUGUUCUCCCCUCCUAAAUAUUCUAUAGCAUGUCCUAGUACGGAGACAACAUACAUGAGAAAAUUCACACAAGUCCAUCCCCUUAGCUUGACUGGUAGGUACAUCUGAUAUAGGAAUAUAAUAUUGUAGGAUGGAAUGAUUGCUCCAGUAUAAUAAAAAGCUGCAUAGGCCUUAAGUAGGUAUAGAAAUGCUAAUGCUCCUCCCAUUAACCUUCCUUCUUUUAAGAGGUGGAAGCAGGCCAUGAUAGAGUACAUAACUAUAGCAAACAUGUCUCUAUAGAAUAUGGUUCGAAAUAUUACCUGGGUUAAGCCAGUGAUCUCGGACUCUCCCGGGGUGCAAUUGUUUGCUCCCUCCAUUGGUACCGAAGUCAUAUUGCUUGCCAUAUUCUAUCAGGAUUUCCGGGCUGCUCAAGUGUUGCUUCUGUCUGGGCUCGGUGUGGAGUGAAAGUAGAAUCUGUAGGACUUGGCUGCAGCUUGAUUCUUGUCUCUUGUGAGUCUAUAUGUGUUGGUCUGUUUGUUGAGAAAAAAUCAUGUGGUAUAGGCCGGCCUACUUCACGCAUUACUCCCCUCCUGCUUUUUUACAUGGGACGAUUGUUUGCUGCAAAAAUUUCUUACAAGUUGCCCAAGGCCUAUUUUGAUCAUAUAGAAUAUGACCCCUAAGCAUAAAAGGCCCAGCAAGCCAUAACCCCACCAUAUCAAUAGAGUCUUUAUUAAGGGCCAAAUCCAUCCUCCUAUGGUGUAUAUUAUGCUUUGUGUGACGUCACCUGCUGUUGUCAGGGCAGCUCCACCAAUGUGGAGCUGCAGUGACCCCCAGCAGGUUCAUGUGGUUCCUCUUGGGGAACCUUUUGCUCCGUGUACAUAGCCGUUAACAACCUCUGGGUCUUGCAGGUUGGCUACAUCCUUGCUGUAUUUUUUAUCUUUCUUCAACCCUGUCCAUACAGGGAGAAAACAUUUGGUGUUGCACUUCACACAUGUUCCUGGUGUCACAUGUGUAGUUUAGUUCUCUAAACUCUGAAUGUGGCCCUUCGGGCCCUUGGCCCUCAUAAAGGGGGUUCUCUGACCACUUGGUGGUGGUGCCGUGUGAUCCGCUCGCCCCUGCCAUCUGAAAAACAGGUUUUAGGUGUGUCCAAGAGUUAUUGUUUCGCGAUCCGCUUUUAACUAAAAAAUGUGGAACUAGUUCCCAUCCUCCUCCCAUUAAAGCGGGAGCGAAAUUGAUAGGCUCCUCCCAGUCCCCCCGGGUUUACAGCAGAGCAACAUACAACAUGGUGAGGCUGAUCGUGAGAGAAGGGGGGGCAAGGCAGAUACAUCAUGUUCGCAUAUAACAACUUUUUCCAGAUAAAUGAUUUUUAUGACCGCAAGUCAUUUCUACAAUUGCUAAUUUAUACCUCCGACGUCCAAAUAUUCCCUCCGUAUUAUCACCGCAAAAAAAACCCAAAUUUUAUAUACCAUGAUUAUAUUUAAUCUUCAGUCACAAAAUAAUAAUUUAUGAACAAAAACAAUUAAAUUCUCAUUAAUUUAUUAUUAGUUUUAUUAGUAUUAGUAUAUAUGGUAUUGUUAAUUUCCGCUGUCCUUCUUCUAAGAAGGGUGGUUGUGGUCUUUGUUUGCUCGUUGAUUUUGAUUGUUCCUUGGUGGUUUUUUGAUUCCGGGUAGGGGGUUCCUCCUUUUGUGCCUUCAGGGAUCUGUGGGACCCUUCUGGGUGUUUAUGAGAUGGGAGUGUGUGACUCUUCUCUUUGUUGCCGGCGGGGUUCGAGAUACCGAUAGUCUGGUACCGGGUAUAGGUCGUGAGCCUUCUGCACCUGACUAUGCAUGGGGUCUCUUCCACGGUUAGGGUCGGUCAGUCCCCUAACUGGGAUUGGCCUUACCAAUAUUGGAGCCGGAUUUAGAUCUGGGGUGGCCAUGUCCAUUGGCGUGGGAUAUUGUACUGGAGCAUGGUCCUGUUCCGGGUUAACCCAGAAGGCCGGAUGGUGUGGCCCCACCAGUUCCGAACCCCCAUAGUUAUAUGCGGGGGGCCUGUAUUGGUCAAAAACCUGGGUCCCCUGGGCCGGUGGAGCCCCCGGUCGUGUUGGCUCUCUUCUUUGUGGUCCGUAGAUUAAUUUGGCUUGGGGGGUCCCUUUAUUCCGGGGUUGGUCGAGAGUUACUCGAUCUGUCAACUGUUCCGUCAAUUCUUCUUACUCUUCUACCGAGUGGGUCACCAAAGUGAAGCGAAUGGUGGGGUUUGCCCAUAUCAGUCUAUGGAAGGCCAAGGUAAACGCAUGUGUUUCAUAUUGGAAACCACCACCUCCAAACACUGGCAGGACAAUCCUGAUUGGGGGGGGUUCUCCCAUAUCGAGUACCGUCUGUAUUCCUAGGUUCAUCACUUCCUCUAGCACCACCUGUUGGUCUUUGACCGUCUGGUGCCCCUGCCUGGGGAGGUAGCAGCAAUGCACUAUUCCCACCAGUCCAUGCUCCUUGUUUGUUUGUAGGUGGGCUGAUGGGGUGUGGAAUGGUAGCCGGUUAUUUAGCCUUUGAUCCUGAGUAAAUCUAUCCGUUAGCGUGGGGAAUCUAUCCCUUAGUGCUCGAGCGGCACCUGAAUCAUGAGCUAGAUUUGGAUUGGUGGGAUUCAACACGUAAACCUUUUCUUCUGGUCCUCGGGGCAGAGGACAGCUCCACAGGUCGCCCUGUUAUAUGGUCACCUGUCCUUCCUGCCAUGGUCCUCCUAUGAAAUCUGAGGGCGCCCAUGGCCCUUGUACCACGGACCCAGGUAUCUCUAUCACCUGGGAGUUUCUUCGAGGAGGGACCGGGGAAAGGGCAUGUGGCGUUAGUGCUCUCCAUGGUCCUCCAUGUCCAGGUCCUCCCUGAGGCUCAUCAUAUCUUUCCGAGAUCUCCCCGUCCUCCAGGGUAUCUAUCUCGACAUCUCGCUCCCCUAUCUCAGAGGCAGCCGUUCUGCUCAUGCCUUAUUUUUAUUUAUUUUAUUUUUUAUAUCGCAACUUUUAGGGGGAAUUUUUACUUUUAACACAGGUUACCUCCUUUUUUUAACCUAAUCUAUAUUUAGGUGGGAUUUUGUUUUCAGAUAAGAUAACUUAUUUUACUUUCUCUUAUUGAAACUUCUAAGUGGACUUUUAUUUAUUUAACUCAGGUUGCCUCUUUAUUAAUGGAAUUUUAUCUUUGACUAGAACUACUCUCUUAUCAAACUAACUAUACUUAAUCUUACUUACUUUCCGGGGGUUAACCCGUUUCACCAGGUGGAAUAUUAUUUCUUAUCACAAACCAAAUUACUUCAUGACAAGAAAUAACUCCGUUGCCUACCUGCUUUAUCUAACUAGGGAAGGGGCAACCCUUUUUUAACCAGGUGGAAAUUAGCUCUACGCAAGAAUGCCUCCUUUAGCGACCUAUACAACUAGGUAGGAUGUCACCCUCAUCAGAUAUAACUCCUUUAGCCACCUGCUUCAAUACUUUAGGGGGCCAACCCUAUUUUAACCAGGUGGAAAUUAGCUCUUCACAAGAAUGCCUCCUUUAGCGACCUAUACAACUAGGUAGGAUGUCACCCUCAUCAGAUAUAACUCCUUUAGCGACCUGCACUAUUUACUAUAAGGGGGGGGGGAAACCCUCUCUACCAGGUGGAAAAUUAGCUCUAUCAAGAAUAACCUCGUUACCAACCCAUACGACAAGGUGGAACGUCACCUUCAACAAAUAUAACUUAUUUUGCCAACCUGCCUUAAUCUACAAAAGGGGGGGGGGGGGAACAAGGAAAAAACCCUUUUUAACAGGUGGAAAACGAGCUCUAUCAAGAAAUGACUCCUUUACUAACCUAUACAACUAGGUGGAUUAUCACUCUUAACAAAUACUACUCCUUUUAGCCGCCUACUCUACUAUUUAUUUAUUAUCUUCAUAGAAUAUUAAUUCUAUGAAAUGUAACUCCAUUAGAUACCUACACGUUACGGUGGAAUAUUACCUUAGAAAGAAAUAACUCCUUUACUAACCUGCUUUAAUAUCUUUUAGGUGGCUAGCCUAUUUUAUCCUCGAUGAUUAUUUAGAUAAGGUCGCCGGUUUUUUCUAACCAAUCUGGCCUCGUCCAAUAAUUAUCCUUAACUGUUACUUAGAUAAGGUCGCCGGUAUUUCUAACCGAUCAGGACCAGUCGGAACUCGUUAAAUUUUGAAGUCAAAAAGGCCCGGCUUUUUAGACCAGUCGGACCUGUUUAACUCGAAAUUCAAACUGACUAGAAAUAAAAUUAAGGUGUAACGUUACUCUUAGCACAAUUACCUAUCCUAUUAGACUAUUUUAUUUUUAGGUGAGAUGUUACCUUUAAUAAAAUUAUUUUAUUUAUUUUUAUUUUAUUUUUUAUUUUAUUUUAUGGGGCUAACUUAAUUUAUCCUUUAAGUCUAUUUAGAUAGGGCUGCCUGGUUCUCCUGACCAGUCGGGCCUCUGUUUAAUUUUGAAGUCAAAACGGCCUGGUUUUUUAGACCACUCGGACCCGUUUAACUUGAAAAUUAAAUCGAAUAGAAAUAAAAGUAAGGUGUAACGUUACUUUUAGCACAAAUACCGAUCUCAUUACACUACUUUAUUUUUAGGUGAGAUGGUACCUUUAACCCCAAUAAUGUAUUAGGCGCGCUAACAAGCAGAAAUAACCAAAACUUGAUAAUUGUAAUAUAAUCAAAAACCAUCGACCAUUGCCAACCAAUAAUCAAUAAUUUCAACCAAAUACAACAAUCAUAGCUAUCAAUGCCAAUGAACAUCAAUCAAUUUUCUCACAAUUCAAAACCAAGACUGCCUAGUCCGUUGUCUAGUCACAGCCUCACAAGACGCAAAUAUGGGGAAAAAACAACUAUCAAUUUACCAUCGCAACAGGAUUGCAAUCAUCGAUCACCCAUAAGCAAUAAUCAAUAACCACAACCAAUCACAAUGCAACAAUAGUUAUUAAUAUCAAUGAUCGAAAAUUAAGACCAAGAUUGCCUAGUCCGUAGAUUAGUUACGGUCUUUUUUAUUUUAGGUGUGCGAUUCGUGCACUGGACUGCCUAGUCUCUUUGACUAGCCAUGGCCCCACGUUGGGCGCCAUGUCGAGUGUUGGACACCGCACGCGCGGUGAUUUAUGGGAACGAUCGCGUACGACACACACACACACCGCUCCGCAGGGGUGUGUUUUGUGAGUCUGGGUGUCGCACGUACGCUCCCCGGGACCAACCUAGGUCGAGCCCGCUUGUUUCCGUGAAUCGUCGGUUUCACGGAGGCGCUCGGUCCGGCUCGGCUCAGUCUUAAUCCGGUCCGACCCAGGUCACUCUGUUAAGUCCCUUCACAACAGUUACUCUAAUACGAAUUCAGACCCGUCCGUUUUGCGGGACCAAAGUCUCUCGAAAUAAUAAUAGUUAAUACGAAAUGAUGAUGUAUCUUUUUGCCUUGAAAACCCCUAUAAACGUCAGUCACAAUCAACCAUUGCUUGCACUAUGCGCCACUUACCGUGAGGGGAUCAGCUGGGAGAGCGUCGUUCUGCUUUGCCUGUGUCGAGGAGUCGACAGGGAAAAGGACUCGAACGAUUGAGUUAACCUACUACAAAUGUAGUCAGGUAGAUUUAUUUUUAGGUCCAAUAAACACAAUAACUUUUACAACUGAGUAUAGAUUUGAAAAGAAAAGACAAUAAAAAGAAGAAGAAAAUAGAUGAAGAAUGGCCUAUUAAAAGUACCAACGUCCUCUCGGGUGGAUUCCAAGGUUGGGUUUCUAAGUCUAGGUACCAAUGUUCUCUCGGGUGGAGCCAGAGAUUGGGUUUCUAAGUCUAGAUACCAAUGUUCUCUCGGGUGGAGCCAGAGAUUGGGUUUUCUAAAACUAAGUUUAACAACGUUUCCCAAGUGGAGCCCAGGUUUUAACGUUGACGCAACUCUCGUGCCCCAAUACACCGCACGACCCCGAGAGUUGCCUUUGUCUAAUCACGCUUGAGACUAAGCUAGUGCUAAAGAAGAUUCCUAUCAAAAGUACCAACUUUCUCUCAAGAGGCCCUUGAGGUUGGAUUUCUAAGUACCAACGUCCUCUUGGGUGGAGCCCAAGGUUGGAUUUCUAAACCUGAGUUACCAACGUACUCUCAGGUGAAGUCCGAGGUUGGAUUUCUAAAUCUAAAACUUCUAAAACUAAAAAGAAAAUAGUCUGAACCGAGCGCUACGGUGUCAGAGUCCCUAAGAUGAAAAUCUAUUACUAUGAAGGCCGCUGUUUUUUGGAAGCAGAAGAGCAGGGCAGAGCAGAGUACACGACACCACCAGCAGCAGAAGAACCAAAAAGAACGAGUGAGCUUUCUCUGCAGAUUUCCCUGUUUUACUCUCCUGAUAACAAAAGAUCUUUUGAUAAAUGUUCCAGAGUUUCCCUUAUUUUGCCCGAGGGGCAACACAAGAAGCUUGAAGUUGUGUUCAUACAUCAUGGGUUUAAAGGGACACAUGUUCUUUGUAUUCCUCCAAUGUUUCUCCACAAGGAGACAUGUUUAAGCAUUCAAUUUACUACAUAAAAGGGUAUAUAAUGUAACCAGUUAGCUCUAUGGUAAGACAUUUUAAGGCACAUAAUUUUAACACAUAAGAAAAUCUAAAGUAAGCAAUUCACUUUCACACAAGCAGUUAUAAAGAAACCAAUUUUCUUUAUCCUAAAAUAUAUGUAAGCAUUAAAGAAGUUAUAAGGUAAUCAAUUUACCUUAUCAUAAAAUAUAUGUAAGCAUUUAAAGAAGUUAUAAGGUAAUCAAUUUACCUUAUAAAAUAUACGUAAGCAUUAAAGAAGUUAUAAGGUAAUCAAUUUACCUUAUCAUAAAAUAUACGUAAGCAUUAAAGAAGUUAUAAGGUAAUCAAUUUACCUUAUCAUAAGAGGUACACAAGAAGUUAUAAAGAAACCAAUUUUCUUUAUCAUAAGAUAUGAGAUACACAAUAUAUAUGGUGACCUUGUUGAAAGCAUGGUGUCAGCAUGAUUCUGGAGUGAUUCUGGAACGGCUAGGUGCAUCAAUAUAGUGAGUCCUAUCGGGACACACGUCAAGCCCUAACAAGGAAAUUAAGUAUCAGUGUAGAUGGCAGCUUAACUAUAUGUAGUGUGUUAUAGACUGGUGUAGUGAGAAUGUGCAACAAAACCAAAAUAAAGAAGAGGGUUUGGCAACAGCAGCUGCUCUCACCAAGGCAGCGAGAAACCGAAAGGCUGGAUGUCUUCCUCCUUUAUAGGCCAAUCAGGCAAAUCAGGUGCACCUGCUGCAUAAAAGGGAAGAGCCAAAUGGCCCAAGUGGGAAAACAGCGCCGCCAUGGUAUGAGUUACCAGGGGGACGUAACAGUCAUACUGUCCUGACCUAUUGUAAGAUUAAGAAAAAAACUGAAAUAGUUUGAAUCAUUGGGUGUAUCAUAACCCUUUUUUUAUUUUAUUUUUGAAGAGUAUAGUCAAAGAGAAAGAAAGUUAGAGAGAAAGAUAAAAAGUGGGGAAAUUAAAGGGGAACAGUGCCUGUAUGGGGACAAUCCACAGUACAUACAAACAAUAUUUUACAUGUCUUUAUUUUUUUAAAUGUACAUUAACCAUUUAUCCCAGCCUUUAGAAAAUGAGUCUUCCUUAGUUUUUAGUCUAUAUGUGAGUCUCUUGUUUGAAUGUCACCGAUAAUGUUGAGCCAUUGUCUGCAGUCAGGUGCAACCGACUGGAGCCAGUUCUUAGUGAUGACCUUUUUUUUCUGCAGCAAGAAUAAUCUUAAUCAAAUAUUGGUCACCUUUGUGCACAGUUCCUUCCAUAUGUCCCAGGUUUAGGACAAGACAAGUUUGGGGGAUUUUGUAUCCUAGAACCUCGCACAGCACGACAUGGAUAUGUUCCCAGAAUGGUUGAAUUUUACUGCAGCUACAAAACACAUGUGUAUGGUUAGGAUCCAUAUAGUUGCACAGUCUCCAGCACGGUUGUUGUGAAUUCAUUUGUUUGGUAGUAAUCUUGGGCGUAAUAAAGAAACACAUUUGUUUUUUCCGAGUGAAUUCUCUCCAUCCAUGUGACUGUGUAGUUGUCUGGUGUAUUUUCCACAUAUCAUUCCACAUGGUGUCCGGGAUCUCUUCACUCAGUUCUUUUCCCCAUUUAGCUUUGACAUAUAAUGUUGAAUCUUUCUUAGCUUCCAUCAAACAAGAAUACAGAGUUGACACAGCUCUGGGAGUGACACCAUUGUAGGAUUGAACAACCACUUUUACCAUAGGAUGUAUCUCAUCAGCGUGUUUCUUAAUUAUUUUUAUAUAGUAAUCCCUCAUUUGUAAGAAUCUGAAUAAGUCCUGAUUUUUUAGGCCAUAAGUCUCUUUUAAAUCUUGAAAGUUUCUCAUUUCACCCUUUUGGAUAACCUUGCACAUCACAGUUAUACCCAUCUCAGUCCACUGUUUGAAUCUUGUAUCAGAAGUUCCCGGUGUGAAUUCUUUAUCAAAAGCUACCCAUUUUAAUGGACCAAGUUCCCUUCCCACUUUAAGUAGUUUGAUAAAAGUGGUUAGAUAACCCAUGUAUUUAAGGUAAAAGUUGUUAUUGGGUCUAAUUCUUCCUCUUCUUUAGUAUGGGCGGGAAUUUCUCUUUGACCUAUGUGUGGCUGAACCAGGGGCCCAGAUGUAGGCAUUUCAAUAUCUUUGCAACGAGCUACUUAAUCAACAUUACGUCAGUAAAUAAGCGGCCGAGAUUGUGCUGCAUUAAAGUCCUCCCUGAAGUUAGGAAGUGCCAACCCCCCCCCCCCCUUGUCUUUUUUUGCAAGGGGGGGUUGUCAUUUUCACUGCAUUCAUCCUGUCGGUAAGGCUCAGUGGAUAAGUUGACCACUUUUCAAUAUCUUUUUUGGUUAUGCGAAUGCAUAAAUAUUGAAUUGAUUUAGCUUUCCAAUUUAAUUUUAAUUCUUCAAGUUCUUCAUUUGGAGAGCAGUAAAACAUAAAAUUUGAGUUUUAGAUAUGUUUAUUUUGUAACCCGAGUACACCAGAAUGUUCUAAAAUUUGAAUAAGUUUCAUAAAGGAGUUUACUGGAUCUUUUAAUAUGAACAAAACGUCGUCCGCGAAAACACUUAUAGUAUGGUUUUGGUCAUUGAUAUCUAUUCCUGUUAUUACAUCCUCUUGUCUAAUCAUUUGGGCUAAUGGUUAUAUAUAGAGAGCAAACAAGGUAGGGCUGAGACAGCAGCCCUGACUGGUUCCUCUUUCCAAAGUAAAUCUGUCCGAUAGUGAGCCAUUUACUUUAAUUCUAGCUGUCGGUUUGCUAUAGAGCAGGGGUCUCAAACUCGCGGCCCGGGGGCCAAUUGAGACCCGCGGGAUGAUAUUUUGUGGCCCCCUACUUGACAUCAAAGUUUAGUGUUGGUGCAGCCCGCGCAUUGUUGUCAAAAGCACAUUUGUUGCUGAGUCGCUUGCCACGCUUUUCUAUCACUUGUGAUAGGGUGACCAGAUGGGACAGUCCCAAUUCUGAGUUGCGUGUCUUGAGUCCCGUCAAACGCCAAAGAACGCUAAAAAUGUCCCGGUUUCCACCGAUCACUAUGAAAUGUCCCCUGUUGUCAGCGAUUACAUAGCCAACGUGAUUUAAUUAUAGCCCGAUCAUUAACUUAGAUUGGGUGAGUUGUGCUACUUUUUUUUGUGGAAUACUUGAUGUGGCGCAGCCUGACCCCAGACUCUACCUCCAGCGGCCCCCAGGUAAUUUGAGUUGAGACCCCUGCUAUAGAGUGAUUUGAUGCAUAGAAUUAUUUUCUCAUUAAAUCCAAAUUUUUCUAAGGUUAAUUAUAGAAAAUCCCAUUUGACCCUAUCAAAUGCCUUUUCGGAGGCUGUUCAAUGCUGCUGGUAUUUCUUUUUUUUGUAUUUUAUGUAUAAUGUGAAAUAUUCUCCUGAGUUUGUCGACACAAGACAAAGCCAGUAUGGUCCUCAUCUAUUAAAUCUGAUACUAUUGUUUGGAGCCUGACUUGUUGGCUGGGACUUGGCUCGCUGGGACUUUGUCAGAGGGCUUGUGUGAAAAUCACGAACGCAAAUGAAUUAAACGUUGUUAUAAAUCAACACGAAUCAUUUUAGCAAUAAUGUGACGCAUGAUACCCACCUACUACACGGCAACUCUAUAGCUACCUUUGUGUCAGUACAAACAUUAGCUCACUCGUCUUCUAAAAGCCCCUGUCAAACUGUUAUGUGUCACAGGGGCUACUGUAGUAAAUCCUUUUUGUAUUUAUUAUAUUUUAUAACGUUAUGUAAAGCGCAUCGCAGUGCUUUCGGCAGCUGGUGAUUGUUUUAAAAAAAAAAAAAUUCUAAUUGCUUGUCCAUGUCUUGAUAUUUCCAUUAAGAUUCCAUUACGUUCUGUUUCUAGAAGUGGUGAGCAUAAUGGCAUAUAGGGAUGACCCCCAAUAAACUGCAGACUCUUUUUGAAAGUGGCCACUCUCCCUCUUCUGCUCUUACCACACUAAAAUACGACCUUCAGGAAGAGAUGGGUGACUCAUACGUCUUUGCAGCUGCUGAUCGCUCCAUUUGGCCCAGAUCUAAGUUUCUGUUUUAGGCUUUAUUACAACAUUUUCAAGCGGUCGUAUGGGGAGUUAUCCGGGGACGCCAUGCUCUCCAGCCUUCACUUGAUGCGUACAACAAAAAGGAAGGGGCAGAGUGCGGGAAGAUUGCAGAUUCUAAGAACGCCAUCAUUGUUUCAUGCAGUCCCCUCAUGAGGCGAGUCCAUUCAAUGGUCCCUGAGAGUGCAGAGAUUGUCUUUGUGGACUCUUCUGGGAAUUGUGACAGAACUAAUAGCAGAGUGUUCCUGAUCUUGACCCACUCAGCCAUUGGAGGACUGCCCUUGGGUGUGAUGAUGACAUAAUCCGAGUCUCAAAUUGUCAUCGCUGCAGGACUGCAGCUCCUCAAGAGCAUUCUUCCAGAGGACGCAUUUUUUCGCAGACGAGAGCUCGGUCCACAAGUGGUGAUGACUGAUGACUGCCAGGCAUUACGGCAGGCCCUCAGCGAGUGUUAUACACAGACUACGCCCAUCCUCUGUGUUUUCCACAUUUUGCAGGCGAUGUGGAGGUGGCUGUGGGAUGCACACAAUGUGGUACCAAAGUCUGACCGUCAACACCUGCUACAGCUCUUCAAGGCUAUGGUGUACGCAAAAAAUCCGGGAGAACGGCCUCAUAUCAUGGGGCUCUAGAGGACUCCACGGCAAAGCUUCACCCACGAUACUGCAAAUAUCUAACAGGUAUUUUCAGCAGACGUGAGGCCUCGGAUGUCUCCUUUGAUGUGACACUGUAGGAGGAUAAGGUGAACUUCAUGGUUGACACCCACAAAGAACAGAAACUCACACCAGCUGCCAGGAAGGGAUUUUAUAAAAUUGCCACAGGUAUAGUAUCUUGGUCCAUAACUUUGUUUGUGUUGUGGCAAAUGUUGUUGUCCCUUUUUCUAUAUGGACAGCACAUGGGGAUCUCUAAGACAGGGCUAUGGGUCCAUUUACACCACAUUUGCCCUUCAUCGAAUGCUUUAUGUAUUUUGAUACAGUAUAGCAAGAAAUAACAUCUUCCUCUGCCCUACAAAGGAAAGAACAACAUACCAGACAACUGGUACAGGGGAAUGACUGAAGAUCAGAAUGCAGACCAGUCUGUCACAGCUACAUAACUUUGAAUGAAUACACUGUUCAUUCGACAAUCAGCCAUAGUUUCAUUAAAAAUAUAUAUAAUUCCUUUACAUUUUUCUUUAUUUAGAUUCCCUUUGUGCAGCUGCAGCGGAGAGCCUAGAAAGCCCAGCCCGUGGAGUGGACGAGGCUAGCAUUAGUGAUGGCUGCUCAGCUGGUGAGGAAUCAUCGGAACAAACCAGGCAGAGGUUACACCAGCAGGCUGGAAAUUCGGGUCAGGGGGAUGAUGGAGGGCAUCAUUGAAAAUUUACAGUCUGGGUUUGACUUGUACAAGGCUCCCAUGGAGAAGAUGCUGGCCUCCUAUGACAGAAUGACAACAGACAGCCAGCUAAUCUCUGCACUGGCCACAUUUGGCCGCAAAGUGCCCCUGCCGGAUCAGGGGCAUGGAGGAUGGCGAGAAGGGGCAUGCAAACAAGCAUGAAGAUUGGAGUGCAGCCGACAGCUGUGGCUCGUCGGAAGACGCCACUUAAAGGCAGGCGCGCCCUCAUUACUGGGCGGCCAACAAAAAGCUCAAUAAGGCCACGUUUAUACGUAGCAGGGUAUUUAUGGAAACGAAUAUUUCCCCCCCUCCGUUUUCCAAAAUAACAUUG